GUCCACGCCGUAAACGAUGUAUGCUAGGUGUGGGUGGUGUCGAUUCCAUCCGUGCCGAAGCUAACGCAUUAAGCAUCCCGCCUGGGGAGUACGGCCGCAAGGCUAAAACUCAAAGGAAUUGACGGGGACCCCGCACAAGCAGCGGAGCAUGUGGUUUAAUUCGACGCAACGCGAAGAACCUUACCUGGGCUUGACAUGUCGAGGAAACACCUGGAAACAGGUGCCCCUUCGGGUCUCGUCACAGGUGGUGCAUGGCUGUCGU
rnacentral:rRNA from 1 species